AUGGGAAGCAAGACCCUUGGCCCACUGAGGCAAGGGACCCCCACUAGGGAAUGCUCUUCGGCUCUUGAGGCAGACGUGAGAGGGCAGAGGCGCCUGGGUGGCUCAGUCGGUUACGCAUCUGCUUUCAGCUCAGGUCAUGAUCUCAGGUCCUGGGAUGGAACCCUGCAUCCGGAUCCCUGCUCAGCAGGGAAGUCUGCUUCUCCCUCUUUCUCUGACCCUCCCUGCUUGUGCUCUCUGUCUCAAAUAAAUAAAUAAAAUCUUUAAGACAAAAAAACAAAAAACAAAAAACAAAAAACUUCCCUCUUUGGAUGGUUACUUCCUCCACUGGCUCGUUUCUCCUCAGCC
rnacentral:lncRNA from 1 species